GGGGAUUUAGCUCAGUGGUAGAGCGCUUGCCUAGGAAGCGCAAGGCCCGAGCGCAAGGCCCUGGGUUCGGUCCCCAGCUCCG
rfam:Rattus norvegicus chromosome 1, whole genome shotgun sequence.